AAUUCUCAACUAUACAAGUUUUUAUAACAUGUAUAGCUUGGAUCUUGGGAUUUGCGGGCUUUCACAAGUCGGCUAUCCUUAAAUGCAUUAGCAGUGCUUUUGCCGCUAAUCUCUAGUGUGAUAAUUAUCUACGCUAUUGUGAGGCAGCAUGAAUAGAGCUUUGCUUCUAAUCGUCUUCACAGACAAUAUUUGACA
rnacentral:misc_RNA from 2 species